CAUUAUUGAGCUUAUCAAUUUUUUUUGAUAUGAUCGGAACGAUGCAGGUUGUGUUUCUAAGCGUCGAUUUCGUUCGCCAAACGGCUUUGAAUGGUUUCUGUAGGUGUCCGGAGCAGCUGUAUGAGCGUGGCUGUGGUGAUGGACAUUUGACGUUGUCUGCGGACGAUGAGAAUUGAAGAGGUCAGUCGGAGACCCGCCAUUCACAACACCCUACAAUUAACAUUUUUACAUGACAUUUUACAACGACCAUUUUUUUGGUGGUUGCAAAAAAACAAUUUAUCAAGUCUUAUCGGUGGAUCACUCGGUUCGUAGUUCGAUGAAAAACGGGGCAAAAACCGUUAUUUGGCGUGAAUUGCAGACAUAUUGAACGCUAAAAUUUUGAACGCAAAUGGCACUAUUAGGUUUAUAUCUGAUAGUAUGUUUGGUUGAGGGUCGAUUAACUCGUAACUUACAGUCGGCUGUGUGACUGUUUAUUCGAUGAGCUACUUUUGCCAUCAGAAGCAAUUUUGAUGGAGUACCUUUUCGGAGUGAUCGCUUUGCGAUAGUCUAAUGGAUGCUCUGAUGUACGAGCGUUUCAUGCGUUACGUGAGAGCUUCUGCUAUCAUAUCGGUUCGGUGCGUUAGUGGUUUUGGCGUGUCUCUUGCCAGCUGACUUGUACGAGCUUGUGCUUCGUGCGUAAUUUCUUGAAGUCAGUAUAGCCAUGUCACGUGAUUUUCAACAACGUUUCGUUGAUCACAGCGGACGCACGUAGAACCUUUGAAAUCGAUGUUUUCGAUUACGACCUCAACUCAAGCAAG
rnacentral:rRNA from 1 species